AGUUUUUUUUUUUUUUUUUUUUUUUUUUUUAU
rnacentral:ribozyme from 1 species